rnacentral:ncRNA from 1 species
CUUCACCCGAGUUUUCUCAAGCGCCUUAGGAUUCUCUCCCAGUCCACCUGUGUCGGUUUAGGGUACGGUCAUACAUAAUCUGAAGCUUAGAGGCUUUUCUUGGAAGCAUGGCAUUGAUUAGUUGGCCCCUCCAUGGAGGGGUUACCUGUUAACAUCUCAACAUUAACACUCCGGAUUUGCCUAGAAUGUCUGUCUACUCGCAAGGGGGAGCUAAUCUCAGAAAGCCGGUCGUAGUCCGGAUUGCAGUCUGCAACUCGACUGCAUGAAGUCGGAAUCGCUAGUAAUCGCGAAUCAGAAUGUCGCGGUGAAUACGUUCCCGGGCCUUGUACACACCGCCCGUCACACCAUGGGAGUGGGCUGCACCAGAAGUAGGUAGCUUAACCUUCGGGAGAGCGUUUACCACGGUGUGGUUCAUGACUGGGGUGAAGUCGUAACAAGGUAGCCGUAGGGGAACCUGCGGCUGGAUCACCUCCUUU